GCUCGUUAUUGGAUCUCGUGCAGUCGAGCGGAUUGAUGGUAACUUGCUCCCUGAUAUCAGCGGCGGACGGCCUGAGAAACACGUGGGUAACCUGCCUGUAAGACUGGGAUAACUCCGGGAAACCGGGGCUAAUACCGGAUAACUCAUUUCCUCGCAUGAGGAAAUGUUGAAAGGUGGCUUUUAGCUACCACUUACAGAUGGACCCGCGGCGCAUUAGCUAGUUGGUGAGGUAACGGCUCACCAAGGCGACGAUGCGUAGCCGACCUGAGAGGGUGAUCGGCCACACUGGGACUGAGACACGGCCCAGACUCCUACGGGAGGCAGCAGUAGGGAAUCUUCCGCAAUGGACGAAAGUCAGACGGAGCAACGCCGCGUGAGUGAUGAAGGUUUUCGGAUCGUAAAGCUCUGUUGUUAGGGAAGAACAAGUGCCGUUCGAAUAGGGCGGCACCUUGACGGUACCUAACCAGAAAGCCACGGCUAACUACGUGCCAGCAGCCGCGGUAAUACGUAGGUGGCAAGCGUUGUCCGGAAUUAUUGGGCGUAAAGCGCGCGCAGGUGGUUCCUUAACUCUGAUGUGAAAGCCCACGGCUCAACCGUGGAGGGUCAUUGGAAACUGGGGAACUUGAGUGCAGAAGAGGAAAGUGGAAUUCCAAGUGUAGCGGUGAAAAUGCGUAGAUAUUUGGAGGAACACCAUUGGCGAAGGCGACUUUCUGGUCUGUAACUGACACUGAGGCGCGAAAAGCGUGGGGAGCAAACAGGAUUUACAUACCCUGGUACUCCCACGCCGUAAACGAUGGAGUGCUAAAUUGUUAGGGGGGUUUUCCGCCCCCUUAAUU
rnacentral:rRNA from 1 species